GAUGAACGCUAGCGGCAGGCUUAAUACAUGCAAGUCGUACGGGAUCCGAGGUAGCAAUACUUUGGUGAGAGUGGCGCACGGGUGCGUAACACGUAUGCAACCUACCUUUAACCGGGACACAACCUCGAGAAAUUGAGGCUAAUAUCCCAUAACACUGCGAAAUGGCAUCAUUUUGCAGUUAAAACUCCGGUGGUUAUCGAUGGGCAUGCGCGACAUUAGCUAGUUGGUGAGGUAACGGCCCACCAAGGCUACGAUGUCUAGGGGUUCUGAGAGGAUUAUCCCCCACACUGGUACUGAGACACGGACCAGACUCCUACGGGAGGCAGCAGUAAGGAAUAUUGGUCAAUGGGCGCAAGCCUGACCCAGCCAUGCCGCGUGCAGGAUGACGGCGCUAUGCGUUGUAACUGCUUUUGUACAGGAAGAAACCCAUUUACGUGUAAGUGGUUGACGGUACUGUCAAAAAAGCAUCGGCUAACUCCGUG
rnacentral:rRNA from 1 species